rnacentral:misc_RNA from 1 species
AACGCACAUUGCGCCCUUUGGUAUUCCUUAGGGCAUGCCUGUUCGAGCGUCACUAAAAACCACCUCACAGAUAAUGUGGUAUUGGUAGAAGUGGGUAGUACUAACAGUACUUGGUCCUACUCUACUGAAAUCAAUAGGCCAGAAAAGUGGACCAUGGUAACAGACUCUCAGAGUGUUUUAAAAUGCUAAACUAGUCUUAUCCAGGUUGAAAUCUGAGCCACUGGACCCCCAUUUAGUCCAAAACAGAGAGGUUGACCUCGGAUCAGGUAGGGAUACCCGCUGAACUUAA